AGCAGCCGCGGUAAUUCCAGCUCCAAUAGCGUAUAUUAAGGUUGUUGCAGUUAAAAAGACUCGUAGUUGAAUUUCGGGGUUAGUAGGUUGGUCAUGCCUCUGGUAUGUACUGGUCUCACUGAUUCCUCCUUCCUGAUGAGCCGUAAUGCCAUUAAUUUGGUGUUGCGGGGAAUUUGGACUGUUACUUUGAAAAAUUAGAGUGUUUAAAGCAAGCUAACGCUUGAAUACAUUAGCAUGGAAUAAUGAAAUAGGACGUUCGAUCCUAUUUUGUUGGUUUCUAGGAUUGACGUAAUGAUUAAUAGGGAUAGUUGGGGCAUUAGAUUCAAUUGUCAGAGGUGAAAUUCUUGGAUUUAUUGUAAGACUAACUACUGCGAAAGCAUUUGUCCAAGGAUGUUUUCAUUAAUCUAAGAACGAAAGUUAGGGGAUCGAAGACGAUCAGAUACCGUCGUAGUCUUAACC
rnacentral:rRNA from 1 species